CUCCGGGGCGGUGCCGGCAUGACCCGUCACCUGCUGCGCGACGACGACCUGACCCAGGCCGAGCAGGGCGAGAUCCUCGAUCUCGCCCUGGAGC
rnacentral:tRNA from 1 species